rnacentral:rRNA from 1 species
CGAGGGGUAUAAGGAGCUUGCUCCUUAGAGACCGGCGCACGGGUGCGUAACGCGUAUGCAAUCUACCUUUCACAGAGGGAUAGCCCAGAGAAAUUUGGAUUAAUACCUCAUAGUAUAUAUGGAUGGCAUCAUUUGUAUAUUAAAGUCACAACGGUGAAAGAUGAGCAUGCGUCCCAUUAGCUAGUUGGUAAGGUAACGGCUUACCAAGGCGACGAUGGGUAGGGGUCCUGAGAGGGAGAUCCCCCACACUGGUACUGAGACACGGACCAGACUCCUACGGGAGGCAGCAGUGAGGAAUAUUGGUCAAUGGGCGCAAGCCUGAACCAGCCAUGCCGCGUGCAGGAUGAAGCAUCUAUGGUGUGUAAACUGCUUUUGUACGGGAAGAAACAGAGGUUCGUGAACCUCCUUGACGGUACCGUAAGAAUAAGGAUCGGCUAACUCCGUGCCAGCAGCCGCGGUAAUACGGAGGAUCCAAGCGUUAUCCGGAAUCAUUGGGUUUAAAGGGUCCGUAGGCGGUUUGGUAAGUCAGUGGUGAAAGCCCAUCGCUCAACGGUGGAACGGCCAUUGAUACUGCCAGACUUGAAUUACUAGGAAGUAACUAGAAUAUGUAGUGUAGCGGUGAAAUGCUU